UACAGAGGGCCCAAGCGUUGUUCGGAUUCACUGGGCGUAAAGGGUGCGUAGGUGGCCAGGUAAGUUCGGUGUGAAAGCUCGGAGCUUAACUCCGAAAUGUCAUUGAAUACUAUCUGGCUUGAGGGUCGGAGGGGAGACUGGAAUUCUCGGUGUAGCAGUGAAAUGCGUAGAUAUCGAGAGGAACACCAGUGGCGAAGGCGGCACUCUGGGCCGUGACUGACGCUGAGGAGCGAAAGCGUGGGUAGCAAACAGG
rnacentral:rRNA from 1 species